rnacentral:rRNA from 1 species
UACGAAGGGGACUAGCGUUGUUCGGAUUUACUGGGCGUAAAGCGCGCGUAGGCGGAUCGCUAAGUCAGGGGUGAAAUCCUGGAGCUCAACUCCAGAACUGCCUUUGAUACUGAGAAGCUUGAGUUCGGGAGAGGUGAGUGGAACUGCGAGUGUAGAGGUGAAAUUCGUAGAUAUUCGCAAGAACACCAGUGGCGAAGGCGGCUCACUGGCCCGAUACUGACGCUGAGGCACGAAAGCGUGGGGAGCAAACAGGG